rnacentral:rRNA from 1 species
GUGGCGAACGGGUGAGUAACACGUGGGUAAUCUGCCCUGUACUCUGGGAUAAGCCUGGGAAACUGGGUCUAAUACCGGAUAUGACCUUUCACCGCAUGGUGGGGGGUGGAAAGUUCCGGCGGUAUGGGAUGAACCCGCGGCCUAUCAGCUUGUUGGUGGGGUAAUGGCCUACCAAGGCGACGACGGGUAGCCGGCCUGAGAGGGCGACCGGCCACACUGGGACUGAGACACGGCCCAGACUCCUACGGGAGGCAGCAGUGGGGAAUAUUGCACAAUGGGCGCAAGCCUGAUGCAGCGACGCCGCGUGAGGGAUGACGGCCUUCGGGUUGUAAACCUCUUUCGCCAGGGACGAAGCGCGAGUGACGGUACCUGGAUAAGAAGCACCGGCUAACUACGUGCCAGCAGCCGCGGUAAUACGUAGGGUGCGAGCGUUGUCCGGAAUGACUGGGCGUAAAGGGCGCGUAGGCGGAUGGCACAGUCAGAUGUG